CAGGAAGCUCCACAGACUCUGUUUGCUGACAUUUUCCCUUGGGAAGCCAGUGGCAGGAGGUAACAAAGGCAGAGGACCUGGACUCUGGUUGAGCAAGGAUGGGAUACCUGCACAGGGGCUGUCACGGACCUUCACCUUCCACCUUCCUUCCACUGGAUGCAGCUAGAUGAGAAGAUUUUGGAUAGCAGUCCAUGUCUGUAUUAUGACAAAGUAUUGACUUUUCAGUUACUCACCAAUUUUUCAUGUGCAUGCAGCGGCAGUGAUUCUCAAGAGAGAGAAAAACUUAGCUGGUGUACUGCUGUGCUCAUCCCAGCCUGA
rnacentral:lncRNA from 1 species